UAGGGAUAGCGAUAGUGAUAGUAAUGGUGAUGGCAAUGGUGAUGAUAAUCCUUUUUAUAUCCAAUGGAGAUGAGGAAGAUGAUGGUUGACAAGAAUUCAGACUGAGAAAAAGGAGCUAACUCCAUAUCUAAGGUUUUUGCAAAGAAAAAGGUAAGUUUUGAGGGGUCUGUUUUUUUUUCCCUGCGCAAUUGAGUGCACACUUUGUUAUAUAUCUGUCAGAUAGAAAGGAUGAGAUAGUGAACACAAUCAAAGAGGUAGUAACCAAGAUACAUUAUGAUGCUGAAUAUCCUGGACAAAAACUCAGAGCCUGCAACUUGUACAUUUCUUCUAUAGGCCUGAAUGCACUGUUACUUCUAGUGACGAGAACUUGGGGCCGUAUUUUUUUUUUUGGUUUUGCUUAUCUGUUGCAAUUUGAACAUGGAUCAUAGACAGCCAUUUCUUCAGUUACAUGUACAGCAGUAUCUUUUUUUUCUCCCCUAGGCCUUCUUAUAAUGUGCAUUAUAGUGAAUAUCCAGCUUUACUCUUCAAAUACAUCUGAUGUACACUAAAACCUUUA